rnacentral:lncRNA from 2 species
ACUAAACAGCCGUCGUGGAAACUUUACACCUUCUGUGGAGACGUUCGCGUGGUCAUAAUCCCCAGCGUCAAACCUGUUGCUCUUCGCACCCUACGCUUCGACGCAUACAAUGGUCGGAGCCUCACUACUCCCUCGACCUCCACAGCACGCCGCACCCUAGCUUUUGGCUCUCAAUUUGCUUAUAGGCUUUAUUUGCUAUCUUUUCAUAUCCGUAAGUUAGAUCGUACAACUAGUUCGACUAUCGAAUCUAAGGAGCUGACGUGGACCCAGAUGGCUACGCUGAAGCCGCGGAAAAUCUUAAGGCGCAAGGCAAGACAUAACUAA